UUCACCUCAUAACUUUCCUUAAAAAGUUAUCCAUAUGGAUAACAGUGCCUUACUGCCCUUACUGAAAACAACAGUGUGAUCUCAGGCCAAGCUAAACCCCAUGAGAGAUAAACAACCUUGUUGCGGUUUAUGCAAUGUUUACUCAAGCUGUUCACUGUUUAUUUCCAUUUUUGAGCCUCAGUUGACAUUUUCCUGAGUGCAGAUUCACACUAAGAAAACGAAGACCAGAAAUACCCACUUAAAAUGAGCAAUUUAUUGCUUAAGAUUCAAUCUGAGAAUUCAUGAGUUGGUAGAUUUCAGAGGUGACUUAUUUCAUUUUUUAAAAGCAUUUGAAACAAGCUUCUGAGAAGAAGUGGAGUAUUUGGUUUCUUUGGUUGCCGAGUAACUUCAGAAACAAACACAGGGAGUCAGAUGGUCUGAACAGGAGUCUCACAGAGUUGAAGAAGGGCAGCCUGGUGCUCUAUGGACAGAAAAACACACCUGAAUCUGAAAUAUCUGAAGACAACUUUAUGUGGAGUCAACAGGAUUGUUGCUGCUGGUGUGCUUGUGUCUGGAGCUGGACCUGGAGUGGUCAAUCCUCCUAGAAGCUACAGGGCAACCCCUGCAAGAACAGCUUCAAUGCCCAUCAAUGUCCUGCAUGUUCCUUCCUGGAUCUAGACGAGGCCUCAUUCUCUGGAUGCCCCAACACUGACAGUCACUUCAAAAUUAGAUUAAAAUGCUGAUGUUAAAUGUUUUGGAUAAGGCCACAUUUAUCCUUGUUUUAAAUGAGAAGCUCAGACAGAUCAGAGAGUGCACCAAGAAUUCCAGUGUAAGAACUGGUUUAGAGAUGGGCCUCACCUGCUUCUGUAUACUUGAGGCCCACUUUCUCCACCUCAUCCUUGGGCUUGGGGGGGGGCCAGAUAGCCUGUAGCCUCCCCGGUGUGCGGUCCUCACUAUCGGCUGGUGAGGUAGCCUCAGACUGCAGGACAAACAACAAAUUAACAGGUCACAGUCUGUAGCAAAACAUCAGCAUUAUAUGCAACAUUGGAGAGAUUCAAGGUUAAGAGUGAAGUUCUUGUAUAAAAAAACAUUGAUGUCGCUAAACAAGAGAACUGGACACAAACAUGUGCAUAACUUUUAAUUGCAAUUAUUCUUAAGCUAUUUACCACUCUAAAGUAAAUCAGCAAGAAAAUGUAAUUAAGGUCCACUAAAGCAUCUUAACAUGGCACUUCAUAUGGUUGGAGUGCAACAUUCAGACAGCUGUCAGGUUGUUUUUUGCACCAGAAUUUUUUUAUAUUAAAAUGGAAAAUCAGAGGAGUUAUGUUACUAAUAUGAAACACUACUUUUAAUCCUAUAUUUCUACAAAAUUGAUGAUGCAUUUACAUUAGUUUGUCAGCUAUCUUAGCAAUAAAAUUGUACAGAACACACAGUUGCAUUAAGCUGAAAAGAUGAGAGUAAGUUGCAGAAAGUUGCUUGCAAUGACAUACUUUUCCAUCUGUUAAGUCUUUAUUAUCAGCUGAUUUGGAAAAAGAUCUCUCAAAUAUUGCUUUCAGAACCUCUUUCUCAUUUUUGAUUUUCCUCUUCACAGCUUCCAGGUCCGCAGCCUCUAAAGAAUCCUUUCUAGGUGGUUUUGGGGUAAAAAAUGCUUUAAAUGUGUCAAACGGUGUUUCCAGGACUUUGUCAGCAUCCUCCGUUGAGGUGGCUGUGUGCAGAUUCCCCUCUGUCCCCUCUUCUCUCGGGUGGGGCACUUGGUCAGCCAAUGGCUCAAUCGCAGGCUCCUUUCCCUCAGUUUUGCCGCUGUCCAGGGUGAGGCGCUGGGUCAGCUGCUCCAAAAAGUUGCUCUUGAAUUCAAGCACAGCUCUGGGCUUCUUGCUCUGCAGUGGCUCAGUGAAAAACCGGGCUUUGUUGACCGGCUUCUUUAGCUCGAGUAGUGCCAAGUCUGUGUCUCUUUGUUUGAUUUCGGCCACUGUCUCCCUCUCCUCCCCCACUGCUCCUUUCUUCAGUACCCGUAACCCACUGAAGAGGGCGGGGAGCUGGAAGGGCUUCUCCCCAGGGGUACUGGAAGGAAGCUGCAUGGCCCCAGAGAGAGAUUCAUGGGCUGGAUCGAUGUCUUUGAUGGGUGUCUCCUGAGCACUGUGCAGUCUGAAGAUGGGUACCCGCUGCUCAACAUCAUGUGGCUCCUUGGAGAGUACAUGGCUUCUAAAC